GGGUUUGGAGGGCACUGUCUUGAUCCUGCUCUGGAGGGUUCAAUAAGCUUUCCAGGUGUUCUUUGAGUAAACCGCAAAUAAUAGCGGGAGAAACGUCAGAAAGAAAGGGUAAGGGAUGCGUGAAGGAGGCCACUGAUUGCCAAAACUUUUGGACUUUAUUCAGUAGUAGAGAGCCACUGAACUUUUUAAAUUGAAAGGCCUGUUAGCUAGCUCCAAUCCCAAUUAAGCAGAUAAAAACGUGGAUACUGAAACAAAUGAUUCGGGAUGUAAUCUCCCAUUGCUGCGUGUGUGUCUCAGGGAACAAUGAAAUGCACAGCCGCAGGAUUCUCGGGUGCACAGAAGCGGACCGCAGGGGCGGCCGUUGAGCUGCCCUCUCUAAAGGAGUAGGCCGAGCACAGUCAUCAGCCAUGGCCCAUCGGUCUCGCCGCGGUCCCUCUGGCCUUAGGGCGCCGGCCCUUCCCUGCGCCGAGCAAGGAUGCUUGUCACUCCAGGAUCAGCGCUGGGAAGCCGCUGCUAGGCCUCUGCCGACACCACCAACAGAUGCGCAAUGCGUCUGCUCCACCGCAGCAGCCCCGCUCUGCAGACAUCCCAUAGGAGGGAAGGCCGCCGUACUAGGACACCACGGCCCGCCGCAAACAGCCGACGCGCGCGGGUCUAAGAUUCCAGCCCCGACAGCCGCUCGCCGGACUGCAAAUCCCGGCAUGCGCGCCUCCCCCGGGAGCCAAUGGGGAAGGUGCAAGUUCCCUCAGCCAAUCAUAUCCCGACCCAGUGCAACACCCAGACUGAAUUCUGGGACUUGUGGUUUUCACGUGGCAGCAUUGCACCAUCGUGGUUCAGGCAAUGUAGGCCACGCGUCCGAUUCGAAACGAAAGCUCCUUCAUGUAAUUCUUCUGUUGGUCCCCAGACUCACCCCCUUAAUUAGCAUUAGUUUCAUGCCUUACACUCCUUAAAAAUCGUAAACUUAUCUCUUACUGUCAUACAGAAAAAAAAAUCAAGUUAUUUUCAGAGAAGGCACGCUUGUCCCAGUCGCCCCCCCCCGGCCUUUAACCGUCGCUUUCAAGUCUC
rnacentral:lncRNA from 1 species